rnacentral:rRNA from 1 species
AACGAACGCUGGCGGCAGGCCUAACACAUGCAAGUCGAGCGGACCUUUCGGGGUCAGCGGCGGACGGGUGAGUAACGCGUGGGAAUAUGCCCUUCUCUACGGAAUAGUCCUGGGAAACUGGGGGUAAUACCGUAUACGCCCUUUGGGGGAAAGAUUUAUCGGGGAAGGAUUAGCCCGCGUUGGAUUAGGGAGUUGGUGGGGUAAUGGCCUACCAAGCCGACGAUCCAUAGCUGGUUUGAGAGGAUGAUCAGCCACACUGGGACUGAGACACGGCCCAGACUCCUACGGGAGGCAGCAGUGGGGAAUCUUAGACAAUGGAGGCAACCCUGAUCUAGCCAUGCCGCGUGAGUGAUGAAGGCCUUAGGGUUGUAAAGCUCUUUCAGCUGGGAAGAUAAUGACGGUACCAGCAGAAGAAGCCCCGGCUAACUCCGUG